rnacentral:rRNA from 1 species
UACGAAGGGGGCUAGCGUUGUUCGGAAUUACUGGGCGUAAAGCGCACGUAGGCGGACAUUUAAGUCAGGGGUGAAAUCCCAGAGCUCAACUCUGGAACUGCCUUUGAUACUGGGUGUCUUGAGUAUGGAAGAGGUGAGUGGAAUUCCGAGUGUAGAGGUGAAAUUCGUAGAUAUUAGGAAGAACACCAGUGGCGAAGGCGGCUCACUGGCCCGGUACUGACGCUGAGGCGCGAAAGCGUGGGGAGCAAACAGG